rnacentral:rRNA from 1 species
CGCCUGUUUAUCAAAAACAUACCCUAAUGGUAUUUAUAUUAGGUGCUGCCUGCCCGGUGUAUAACAUUAACGGCCGCAGUACCCUGACUGUGCUAAGGUAGCGUAAUCGAUUGGCUUUUAAUUGUAGUCUGUAUGAAUGGCUUAACGUGGGAACUCUGUGUCUAAUAUAUUAUUAUUUGAAUUUACUUAUUAAGUGAAAAUGCUUAAUACUAGUGAAAAGACGAGAAGACCCUAAGAAUUUGAUACUACUUUUGUUGGGGCAACAUUGGGACAAAAUUUAAUUCCCGUUAUAAUAAAAUUAAUCAGAUUUUUCAAAUUAAAUUAAAUUACCUUAGGGAUAACAGCAUAAUUUUUAUAAGUUUGUGACCUCGAUGUUGGACUAAGGUUUCUUUGACUAAAAGUUAAAGUAUUUUGCUCUGUUCGAGCUACUAAUCUUACGUGAUCUGAGUUCAGACCGGA